GACGAACGUUGGCGGCGUGCUUAAUACAUGCAAGUCCACUGAAGCAGUGGUAGCAAUAUCGCUGUGGAGGUGGCGCACGGGUGAGUAACACGUAGGUAAUCUGCCUUCAGGUCUGGCAUAACUCCGUGAAACCGGGGCUAAUAGCAGAUGAUGCAGCGGCUCGACAUCGAGACAGUUGUUAAAGCUAUGGCGCCUGAAGAUGAGCCUGCGUCUGAUUAGCUAGUUGGCGGGGUAACGGCCCACCAAGGCAACGAUCAGUAGCUGGUCUGAGAGGAUGAUCAGCCACACUGGAACGGAGACACGGUCCAGACUCCUACGGGAGGCAGAAGUAAGGAAUAUUGCUCAAUGGGAGAAAUCCUGAAGCAGCAACGCCGCGUGAGGGACGAAGGGCUUUUGCUUGUAAACCUCUGUAGUGAGAGAAAAAAAUCCCAAUCUUUGGGACAUGAUGGUAUCUCAAAAGUAAGCCCCGGCUAACUACGUG
rnacentral:rRNA from 1 species